rnacentral:rRNA from 1 species
AAUGAACGCUGGCGGCGUGGAUAAGACAUGCAAGUCGAACGGAGUCCUUCGGGACUCAGUGGCGGACGGGUGAGUAACACGUGAGUAUAUGCCGAAAAGUGGGGAAUAGCCCGAGGAAACUCGGAUUAAUACCGCAUGUGACCGAAAGGUUAAAGGUGGCUUCGGCUGCCGCUUUUUGAUUAGCUCGCGGUCUAUCAGCUUGAUGGUGGGGUAAAAGCCUACCAUGGCAACGACGGAUACCUGGUUUGAGAGGACGAUCAGGCACACUGGAACUGAGACACGGUCCAGACACCUACGGGUGGCAGCAGUCGAGAAUCAUUCACAAUGGGGGAAACCCUGAUGGUGCGACGCCGCGUGGAGGACGAAGGCCCUAGGGUCGUAAACUCCUGUCAUCAGAGAGUAAGGCUUCUACACUAACACGGUAGAUGUUUGAUAGUAUCUGAAGAGGAAGGGACGGCUAACUCCG